rnacentral:lncRNA from 1 species
UUCAAAUCCCCCAACAGUUCUUUAAUUUAGAAUGCAUUACAGUUGGUAUUUAUAUGAGUUAACUGACAGCUGUAAGAAAUCAGCAUUGGGCUGUUGUGUAAGUUGAUUGAUAUUUGCAGACAAAAAGGCCUGAAGGACAAAGCCUAGGAAGAGAGAAAAGUGCCUUGUGAUCAUUUCUGCUUCUUCUUUCUUGAAACAUGGGCCCUGUGGGAAGUAGAAUCCUCUUUAUCUUCACAAGUUCUACAGACAUUUUUAACCAAAGGGAACUGUCAUUCCCAUGGAUACUACUAAAUUAAAAUCUUUUGAGUGCAUAUCUUUGUUGUUUGGAAGGCACUGUAGUUUUCUGCAUUUAAUACAACCAUCACAUCUGGAAAGAGGAAUAUGUGGACAAUCUUAUCUUCAACAAGAUAUCAUUUUGGGUUGGAGGAGGGAGAAUAUGGAUGUUUCAACUACUUUUCUCAGACUGGUCUUGGCUCCCUCAACUGCUGCAAGCAACAUCAAACAGCGAACAAGGAUGAGUGGCUACACAUAUAUUUUUGUUUAAUAGCUGUGGUAAUAUAGCAAUAGUAAUAAAGUGGAGCAAGAAGGAACA